AAUAAAAUUUAAGAAUUUAAAUGUCUGUUGCCAGUUGGUUUCAAUUAAGUUUAAUAAUUUCAUUUAAUCAUUUCAUUCAAUAUAUUUAAGCAUUUUUAUUGUAGGAAGAGGAGGAAAUGCCACCUGAAGCGAAAAUGAGGAUGAGAAAUAUAGGAAGAGACACGCCAACAUCUGCUGGUCCAAAUUCUUUUGGCAAAACCCGGCAAGGAUUCUGCGACUCAAAAAAAGUGUUUGAACGACAGUUGAAAGAAAAGAUGGAAGAAGUAGCUGAUAAAUGAGGAAGUGUUUUAAAUAACAGCCAUAUGUAUAUUUCAUAUACUCAUUUUUAAUCACACCAUUCAGCAUUGUUUUAUGUAGAUAUGUAUUUACAUAUUAACAGUGGUUUUGCUUCUCAUGCAGUGAUGUUAUGCAUUAUCAUGUUAUGUAAAUGUGGCUUUUAUCAUUAUGAAUGUGGUCAGCUAUGCAAAUUUGAAGGCCAUAAUGUUUUGGUGAUAUAAUAUGCAAAUAAAAUGUGAAAUGUUUUGUGAA